rfam:Acidobacteria bacterium 13_1_40CM_4_58_4 13_1_40cm_4_scaffold_13344, whole genome shotgun sequence.
GCCGGCGUAGCUCAGUGGCAGAGCGAGGGUCUCAUAAUCCCUAGGCCGUGGGUUCGAUUCCCCCCGCCGGCA